UACGGAGGGUGCGAGCGUUGUUCGGAAUUACUGGGCGUAAAGCGCGUGUAGGCGGCAAGGCAGGUCGGAUGUGAAAGCCCGCGGCUCAACCGUGGAAGUGCACUCGAAACCGCCUAGCUGGAGUCUCGGAGAGGAAGGUGGAAUGCUUGGUGUAGAGGUGAAAUUCGUAGAUAUCAAGCAGAACACCUGUGGCGAAGGCGGCCUUCUGGACGAUGACUGACGCUGAGACGCGAAAGCGUGGGGAGCAAACAGG
rnacentral:rRNA from 1 species